GAUGAACGCUGGCGGCGUGCCUAAUACAUGCAAGUCGAGCGAACAGAUGAGGAGCUUGCUCCUCUGACGUUAGCGGCGGACGGGUGAGUAACACGUGGAUAACCUACCUAUAAGACUGGGAUAACUUCGGGAAACCGGAGCUAAUACCGGAUAAUAUAUUGAACCGCAUGGUUCAAUAGUGAAAGACGGUUUUGCUGUCACUUAUAGAUGGAUCCGCGCCGCAUUAGCUAGUUGGUAAGGUAACGGCUUACCAAGGCAACGAUGCGUAGCCGACCUGAGAGGGUGAUCGGCCACACUGGAACUGAGACACGGUCCAGACUCCUACGGGAGGCAGCAGUAGGGAAUCUUCCGCAAAGGGCGAAAGCCUGACGGAGCAACGCCGCGUGAGUGAUGAAGGUCUUUGGAUCGUAAAACUCUGUUAUUAGGGAAGAACAAAUGUGUAAGUAACUAUGCACGUCUUGACGGUACCUAAUCAGAAAGCCACGGCUAACUACGUG
rnacentral:rRNA from 1 species